UACGUAGGGGGCAAGCGUUGUCCGGAUUUAUUGGGCGUAAAGAGCGUGUAGGCGGCCAGGUAGGUCGGUUGUGAAAACUGGAGGCUCAACCUUCAGAGGUCGAUCGAAACCAUCUGGCUAGAGUCCGGGAGAGGAGAGUGGAAUUCCUGGUGUAGCGGUGAAAUGCGCAGAUAUCAGGAAGAACACCCGUGGCGAAAGCGGCUCUCUGGAACGGUACUGACGCUGAGACGCGAAAGCGUGGGGAGCGAACAGG
rnacentral:rRNA from 1 species